rnacentral:lncRNA from 1 species
CGUGAACUUGAGCCUCCUGCAAUUAUCAAAAAAAUCAUUCAUCAGGGUCAGCACCAAUGGACAGCAACUGAAACAAUGCCCUUACAUAAGGUUUUGGAGAGACAUUGUUGCAAUCACUUUACUGGAUUAUCAUGAAAAGCAAUUAGAUGAGAUCAUUAUGUCGUUUUAGGAAAUCUAAAUUGGUGUCUAAAUAUGAUUUAGAUGAUGCCUAUCUAAAAAAUCGAGCCAAGAGAAGAGAAAAAAGUACAGUAUUAAGCACUAUUAUAUCUUAUAAACAAACCUUGUAACUGCGUAUUAUAUUUUUAUAUAGAGCGUCUUUUACAUUUUAAAUUAUUAUUCCUAUAAUCGAGUGUUGCAACUAUCAUAACUAUUUUCUACAAAAUAUCGAAAAUCGCCGACCCGGCAGCCCGGCCUGUGACGGACUCGAAGAGGCGCAAGGGCCUCUUCAACAGGGCCUCCAAGCGCCACGGUCCUUGUCUUCUCCCCCGAUGGCAAGCCCUGCUCUUUCGGCGACCCAUCGGCCGAAGAGAUAAUCGCC